CAAUAAUUUAAAUUUAAAAUAUUUUAAAAUUAAAAUUUAAAAUUUUUAAAAAUAUAACAGCACUUUCCUGCAGGCUGGUUUAGAAAAUAACAUGAAUGUCAUUGCAACUUACCUUGAUUUGAGGUAUAAAUCAAAGUUUUUUUGCACUUUCCUUGAUCACAUCCAUGAAACAAUUAUUAAUGUUACGAAACACAUCAAUGCAAUUGAUAUGAAGUCCCAAAAAAGAAAGAAAACAAUCAUAAAGAAAUUUAUGAUGCUUAGUAUCCAUGACAUCCUGAAGUGGGAUGAGUCAACAGAUAAUGAUGAGCAAAGUUCAGAACAGAAAUAUAUUAAGUUAAUGAAUAAAAGAAGAAGAGCAGUAUGAUGCAAAACAAAAUUUACAAUCUUGGUGGAACACAUAACUGGGACACAAAAUAUCAAUUUUUGGCAUCAAUAACUAGAAAAUAUCUAUCAACUCCUUCAAUUUCACUUAUG
rnacentral:lncRNA from 1 species